GAAGAUUUAAUUUUUUAAACCCUCCAAAUCAUCAUUACAUGGAAAUUAUGUACUCCAAGGUUGCACUUCUUGAUUGCGACAAUGUGGACUCUUAAAACCAUUAUUGAACAAUAAUAACAUAUUUCUAAUUGCAUUUAGAAAUAAAAUUAAGCUUUCUAAUAAGCUAUUCAAGUAUCAGGGGUUAAAUUGGAAGUUUGCAGUUUUUAUUUCCAUUCAUGUUGGUUAAAUGCCUUGUGAAUUUUUUGGAAUCUGUUAUUCCAUGCGGAAAUUGGAAGAAAAAGUUUUUCAGUAGGCAUUCUGUUUGUCCAUGCUUAAUAAGGUAUAUGCGAAAGGUAAAGACUUAUUGGCUGACUGCUUUUUAUGAAUUAUGAUUGAAAUUGCUAAUGGUAACACUAUUAGAAACAUUUAAAUGGUACUAUAAAAGUUCAAUUUCAGUAUGUGUGUAAUAUCAAAGAGAUUUUAAAAUUUAAAAAUUUAAAUAGAGGAGCUAUAUCCAAGCAAGAUACAGUAGGCCUUCAGUAGUUACCUCUGCUGAAUGCAACAUAUUAUCUAGUUAAGCAUGCUGUGAUAAAUAUUGC
rnacentral:misc_RNA from 1 species